rnacentral:rRNA from 1 species
UACCCCACUAUGCCCAGCCGUAAAAAAUUAACUCACACCCACUAGCGCCAGGGUAUUACGAGCGCAAGCUUAAAAUCCAAAGGACUUGACGGUGUCCCACCCACCUAGAGGAGCCUGUUCUAUAAUCGAUAAUCCUCGUUAUACCUCACCAUUUCUCGCUUUUCAGCCUGUAUACCUCCGUCGUAAGCCUACCGUAUGAAUGUCUAACAGUAGGUUAAAUGGCUUCCUACCGCCAAUACGUCAGGUCAAGGUGCAGCCAAUGAAAUGGGAAGCAAUGGGCUACAAUUUCUAAUUUAGAACAAACGGAAUACUACAUGAAACAUAGUCAUGAAGGCGGAUUUAGUAGUAAAAGGAAAUUAGAGUGUUCCUUUNAACAAGGCUCUGGGACKUGUACACACCGCCCGUCAC